CGCUAAGAAGCUUACCCGGGAUAAGCGUUAGCCUUUUAAGCUAAAGAACGGUGACUCCCGCCCACCCCUAGCGA
rnacentral:tRNA from 1 species